rnacentral:rRNA from 1 species
AACGAACGCUGGCGGCAUGCCUAACACAUGCAAGUCGAACGAGACCUUCGGGUCUAGUUGCGCACGGGUGCGUAACGCGUGGGAACCUGCCCUUAGGUUCGGAAUAACUCCCCGAAAGGGGUGCUAAUACCGGAUAAUGUCUUCGGACCAAAGAUUUAUCGCCUUUGGAUGGGCCCGCGUUGGAUUAGCUAGUUGGUAGGGUAAAAGCCUACCAAGGCGACGAUCCAUAGCUGGUCUGAGAGGAUGAUCAGCCACACUGGGACUGAGACACGGCCCAGACUCCUACGGGAGGCAGCAGUGGGGAAUAUUGGACGAUGGGCGAAAGCCUGAUCAAGCAAUGCCGCGUGAGUGAUGAAGGCCUUAGGGUUGUAAAGCUCUUUUACCCGAGAUGAUAAUGACAGUACCGGGAGAAUAAGCUCCGGCUAACUCCGUG